GGGACCAUGACGCAGCUGGUAAGCGCGUGGGCCUCAUGUUUCGGCACAUGAUCUGAUUAGACAUCAGAGUCAACCCAAGGUCGUGAGUUCGAUCCUCACUAGUCCCA